CACUGCAAAAAAAUAAGCUUUUCUUUUCUUUUGUCUUGUUUCCAGCCCCUAAAAAUUCUUAAAUCAAGAAGGAUUUUCUAGACAAGUAAAAAUUAUUGUCUUGUUUUCAGAAAGAAACAAGUCAAAAUGAAGUGAGUUUUUGCUAAGAACAAGCAAAAUAAUCCGCCGAAGGGGUAAACAAGAUAAUCUUAUUUCAAACAGAAAACAAGAUUAUUUUGCUUACCCCAUUGGCACUAGCAACAAAUUCCAGCACUAAUUGCUAGUGGAAGAAAGCAAAACCAAUACUAAAGAUUGGAAACCUUUAAGAAUUAGUCAUUGAAAAAUUUGGGGAAAAAAAAGUUUGUAUGUACAGUAUAGAGUGGACUGGAAGCAUUGUGGAAGACAGAGGGGGACUAACCAGGACUCGAACUUGGUGUGUCAGUUCAAAGCUUUUUUAAUUUUAAUUUUUAUUGUUAUCCUUUGAAAAAUAGUAAAUAUUUCUCUCAUAUUUUCAAAUCCAUGCUUCUUGAAUACAGUGUAUGUAUAGCAUAUGCAACCACAUAAUAAUCCUGUUUCCAGGUUCACAUUCUACUAUAAUAUAUGUAUAUAAUAUUUACAUGCAGCUGAUGAAAUUAGGCAAAGAAUCCACUAAGCAGUGGCCAACAGGUCUCAGACCAUCACAAAGAAAUAUGUUGGGAAACAGAUUUACAACCAUCAAGGUCAGCAAGCUCAAAGUGAUGUCGUACCUCUUUCCAUGUCCUAAUUAAUCACUAGAGUGACCUUAACUCUGUAGCUCAUACACACACAGUUGAAUGAAUUACACUUUGAUUAAGGUUUGCCACAGUUACGUCCUCGCCAACGACCCUGGGUCUCAUGCUUACAGUGUAUUUGAUUGUCUUUCGCGUUUUACCUUACUACUAUGUUUUUAGUAGCCUAUAGUUUUCAAAAGAGGAAAUAUGAAAGGCUUUCAGUUAUUUUUGAAAAGAUACAUUAUAUUCUAUUUUGUGUCUUUUGCAGAAACGGAUUGCACUAGGGUGAUAUAUUAGCAGAGUAAAUACAGUUAUAAAUAAUGGAAAAUUUAGAGUAGGAAAAAAUGUCACUUAUUUUCAAUACGAUGAAGCACGCUGUGUGAUUAAGAAAUUAUAUUUCUUAUGUAAUCUAAUUAAGAAUAUUUCCUAUGCUGGAUUUAGAUGGAGCCCCUGGGAGCAACUAAAACACAAAUGGUGUGAAACUGGCAAUGGCAUUCAGCUGUUAGCUGAUUACAUUGAUUCCAUUUAUUUGUGACCGUUUUCCAGUCACUUCACUCCUGAAGUGUAGGGCAAAUCACCUUAUAUUCUGCAGAGAUGAGUAACAGGAGAACCACCCACGAAGCGCCACCAGCUCCUGAUGUUGCGACCAUUUUUUCCGGAGCAACAGAUGUUUGUAGCAGCUCCUCCGGACUAAUUAUCCAUCCCGGUCAUCCUCUUUGUGUAGUACGUGCACGUGUGUGUGUUCAACUUUCUGUUAUGCUUUAACUCCACAACGGUAGGAUUUAGCAGUAAUUAUCCCGAAACACACCCCUCUUGCCUCUGCCAUUGUCUUGAUGUCUGGGCAACACAGCCGUCAUUAAUCAAGCGAUUCAACGCAGGCCUGAACUGGUUAACCUGCACCGCCCAGCCCUGGUUACUGAGGAAGUUUUCAAUUCCCUCUGGUCAAUCACAAGGACACAAGAGUGCAACAAUGGGUUGGCUAUGAAUGGAAAUUAAAAUAAGAUGCAACUAUUCAGUGGAUUCCAGCAAUGCAACGUUAAGUUUUGGUAGGUCCGAACAAAGCAUUAAAUUUGCUGAGUAGGAAGGCUGGAAUUGGAAAUUAGACAUCACGGAGUUAUUUCCUUAGCUUUAAUACUGAAACACAAUCACAGCACAUUGCUAUUUUUUACCACUGACCUAGAGCAAGAGGUCAGACAGUUACGAAAGGGGCAGCCCAUGUCACCAUGUUGCAUUUGUGUAUGAAUAGCUGUCCAUUCAAUGACUCUUUUACAGUCUCUUGAAUACAAGUGUUGGCUCCCUUCUCGACAGUCAGAAUGCAGAGUGCAUGCACUUUUGGCAGGCUUGUUAGGCAUCUGUGGUCUCCUUUUUUAGAAAGAGGACAUUUGUUUGUAGAUCUACUUAUGGUACCAUUUCACUUCUCUUCUCUUAUCUAUAUCUUAUUACUUAAAAAAAUUAGGUUGCAUAUAUUAAGUUGAAUGCAUUUCAUUUUUAUCACACAUUUUAAACAAUGUGACAUUUUGUUCAGUCAUAAAAGCACAUUUAGCAGCACUAACCACUUGAGGUCUUUUGUGCCACGUAUGCGCAACAUUGCACACAUUCAGAUGCGAUUCUGGCCCAUUCUUCCAGUCAGUCAGUCAAUUUUCAAAUAGUAUCUCAGUUUCAGAAACUUGCUCAUAUGUUUUUUUCAAAACUCCAGUUGAGUUUUCUUUUGAGGCUUCUUGUGUCACUCUUUCAAUCAGGCCAGUUCUUUGAACAUUUUUAGGCACUUAAUUCACUCAAUUUAGUCACUAAAUUUAGGCACUUCAUUUAGAUAUUAAUAUUAUUUUUGUAACAUGCUUUGUAACAAAUUGUUUUAAAUUGAAACUGUUCAAAAUCAAUCUUUUUUAUUUUAAAUGCAGUUUUAUUUUCAUAGCUG